CUGUGUUAGGUUUUUGUUCCAUUCCGUUCUUUUUUAAAAGUCUUAGGGCACAUGACUAAGGACUCCUUCGUCGUAGGAGUUGCUUUAUCUGGGCACAAGUUUUGUGCUGGGGAAACUGUCCUCACCGGACUUACUUCUCCUUGGAAUACAUUUGCUUUGUGGAGGUUAUCCACACUUGCUAUUGUGGGUUUUCUCAAUGUUAGUGAAGGAAACGUACUGGUGGACGGGGGCGUAGAAGAAGUUCCCACUAUAUCAAUGUUGCAAAGUAUUUAUCCUGAAACUACAAAAGCGAAACUUAUUAAACUUUCCGAC